rnacentral:misc_RNA from 1 species
AUGAAUAAAUUUGGUCGAGCUGUUGCUGGCCCUUCGGGGCAUGUGCACGCUUGCCACCAAUUUUAUAACCACCUGUGCACCUUUGUAGACUAGAAACAAUUCUCGAGGCAACUCGGAUUGAGAACUGCGGUGUUCAAAGCCAGCUGUUCUUGUGUUUCUCAGUCUAUGUUUUCAUAUACUCCAUUGUAUGUAUCAGAAUGUAUUGUUAGGCCUUUAGUGCCUUUAAAUCAAAUA